AAUAUUGCGCAAUGGGCGAAAGCCUGACGCAGCGACGCCGCGUGGAGGAUGAAGGUCUUCGGAUUGUAAACUCCUGUCAGAUGGAAAGAAAGGCUCAUGUUUAAUAAACGUGAGAUAUGACGGUACCAUCAGAGGAAGCACCGGCUAACUUCGUGCCAGCAGCCGCGGUAAUACGAAGGGUGCAAACGUUAUUCGGAAUCACUGGGCGUAAAGGGUGCGUAGACGGUAUGUUAAGUUCGUUGUUAAAGGCUCCGGCCUAACUGGAGUACUGCGAUAAAAACUGGCGUGCUAGAGGGUGAAAGAGAGAAGUGGAAUUCCCGGAGUAGCGGUAAAAUGCGUGGAUCUCGGGAGGAACACCAAUGGCGAAGGCAGCUUCUUGGCUCAUAACUGACGUUGAGGCACGAAAGCGUGGGGAGCAAAC
rnacentral:rRNA from 1 species